rnacentral:rRNA from 1 species
AACGAACGCUGGCGGCAUGCCUAACACAUGCAAGUCGAACGAUGCCUUCGGGCAUAGUGGCGCACGGGUGCGUAACGCGUGGGAAUCUGCCUUUCGGUUCGGAAUAACUCAGGGAAACUUGAGCUAAUACCGGAUAACGUCGCAAGACCAAAGAUUUAUCACCGAAAGAUGAGCCCGCGUAGGAUUAGCUAGUUGGUGAGGUAAAGGCUCACCAAGGCGACGAUCCUUAGCUGGUCUGAGAGGAUGAUCAGCCACACUGGGACUGAGACACGGCCCAGACUCCUACGGGGGGAAGCAGUGGGGAAUAUUGGACAAUGGGCGAAAGCCUGAUCCAGCAAUGCCGCGUGAGUGAUGAAGGUCUUAGGGUUGUAAAGCUCUUUUAAACGGGAAGAUAAUGACGGUACCGGGAGAAUAAGCCCCGGCUAACUCCGUG